GACGAACGCUGGCGGCGUGCUUAACACAUGCAAGUCGAACGGAAAGGCCCUGCUUUUGUUGGGUGCUCGAGUGGCGAACGGGUGAGUAACACGUGAGUAACCUGCCCUUGACUUUGGGAUAACUUCAGGAAACUGGGGCUAAUACCGGAUAGGAGCACCUGCUGCAUGGUGGGGGUUGGAAAGUUUCGGCGGUUGGGGUUGGACUCGCGGCUUAUCAGCUUGUUGGUGGGGUAGUGGCUUACCAAGGCUUUGCCGGGUAGCCGGCCUGAGAGGGUGACCGGCCACAUUGGGACUGAGAUACGGCCCAGCCUCCUACGGGAGGCAGCAGUGGGGAAUAUUGCACAAUGGGCGGAAGCCUGAUGCAGCCACGCCGCGUGCGGGAUGACGGCCUUCGGGUUGUAAACCGCUUUCGCCUGUGACGAAGCGUGAGUGACGGUAAUGGGUAAAGAAGCACCGGCUAACUACGUG
rnacentral:rRNA from 1 species